rnacentral:rRNA from 1 species
UGGUGGAGUGAUUUGUCUGGUUAAUUCCGUUAACGAACGAGACCACAGCCUACUAAAUAGCGUUGUGAAUGGUGACAUUCAUGAUGAGCUUCUUAGAGGGACAUUUCGGGUUUACCGGAAGGAAGUUUGUGGCAAUAACA